rnacentral:ncRNA from 2 species
UCGCUGGACGCUUAAGACGGCGUCAAGACGCACAAGACGGCGUCAAGGGGAGGAAACCGGUGCGAAUCCGGUGCGGUCCCGCCACUGUGAGCACGGCAGCCCGCCGUGCGAGCCAGGAACUCCAGCCGUCUUCCAACCCGCCCG